rnacentral:rRNA from 1 species
GAGCGCAACCCUUGCCUUAGUUACCAGCACGUUAUGGUGGGCACUCUAAGGAGGACUGCCGGUGCAAACCGGAGGAAGGUGGGGAUGACGUCAAGUCAUCAUGGCCCUUACGGCCUGGGCUACACACGUGCUACAAUGGUCGGUACAAAGGGUUGCCAAGCCGCGAGGUGGAGCUAAUCCCAUAAAACCGAUCGUAGUCCGGAUCGCAGUCUGCAACUCGACUGCGUGAAGUCGGAAUCGCUAGUAAUCGUGAAUCAGAAUGUCACGGUGAAUACGUUCCCGGGCCUU